UGAGGAACAUGACCUUCGGCGGGGGAUAGCCGGCCCAACGGCCGGGUAAUACCGUGUACGACCACAUGGGGACAUCCCUGAGUGGUGAAAGCAGCAAUGCGCCGAUGGAGUGCCUCGCGGCCUAUCAGCUAGUUGGUGAGGUAACGGCUCACCAAGGCGACGACGGGUAGCUGGUCUGAGAGGAUGGCCAGCCACAUUGGGACUGAGACACGGCCCAGACUNUACGGGAG
rnacentral:rRNA from 1 species